AGAUUGAACGCUGGCGGCAUGCUUUACACAUGCAAGUCGAACGGUAACAGGCCGCAAGGUGCUGACGAGUGGCGAACGGGUGAGUAAUGCAUCGGAACGUGCCCAGUCGUGGGGGAUAACGCAGCGAAAGCUGUGCUAAUACCGCAUACGAUCUAUGGAUGGAAAGCGGGGGACCGAAAGGCCUCGCGCGAUUGGAGCGGCCGAUGUCAGAUUAGCUAGUUGGUGGGUAAAGCCCACAAGGCGACGAUCUGUAGCUGGCCUGAGAGGACGACCAGCCACACGUAGGAACUGACGACGACGGUCCAGACUCCGUACGGGAGCAGCGAGGUAGGGUAAUUUUGGACAAGUCGGGCACGAAGCC
rnacentral:rRNA from 1 species